UAUAUUAUAUGUUCAUAUGUGUGUAUUUCUGUGCAAGUUAAAAGUGAAGUAAAAGGGUGCAUCCAAACAGCUAUGCGUCAUAUGAGGCCAUGAAAUCAAAAGUGGCAAAAAAGGAAGAGAAUAAAUCAUCAGAGCCUAAGCGAGCAAAUUUCUUCUGUUUCCAAAGCUCAAGCCAGGUAGCUGAACAACAAAAUUUGCGUUCGGUUAUUAUUUGAAGAAAGAAAUAUGAAUUGUUAUUUUAAUUUUAAAAAGUACCGAAUAAAAAAUUUAAAAAUU